UGGGGAAUUUUGCACAAUGGGGGAAACCCUGAUGCAGCGACGCCGCGUGAUUUAGAAGGCCUUCGGGUUGUAAAAAUCUUUUCUAUGGGAAGAAAAUGACAGUACCAUAGGAAUAAGGACCGGCUAAUUACGUGCCAGCAGCCGCGGUAAUACGUAAGGUCCGAGCGUUGUCCGGAAUCAUUGGGCGUAAAGGGUACGUAGGCGGGUAAGCAAGUUAGAAGUGAAAUCCUAUAGCUCAACUAUAGUAAGCUUUUAAAACUGUUCAUCUUGAGGUAUGGAAGGGAAAGUGGAAUUCCUAGUGUAGCGGUGAAAUGCGCAGAUAUUAGGAGGAAUACCGGUGGCGAAGGCGACUUUCUGGCCAUAACCUGACGCUGAGGUACGAAAGCGUGGGUAGCAAACAGG
rnacentral:rRNA from 2 species